AAAUAAUGCCAGAAUUUGGGUUGAGAAACACCCAAAAGAUAGUGGCCCAAUACAUGUGCCUAAGAAAAUCUUCAUGAGCCGAUAAACAUAGUCACAAAACUAGUAACAGCCUUGUAGCCAUAGUUGGUGUAGUAUGAGCAAGUGGGGUAUGAAGUAGGUAGGUGAGUAUUGCAAUGAAAUUUCCAGCACUGCUUCCUGAAUUAAGAAAUCACAUACCCAAGUCUUAGUCGUCGUCGUCGUCGUACCGUGUGAGAACCGGGAAGAAUCUUUGCUCGUAGACUGGCUUUUGUAGUCUUUCUUUAACAAUUACAAGUUAUCUGAAUUCCCUUCAUCCUCCUAUAUAAUAUUGUUUUGGUCUUGUUCUUGUUGCAUUGUGGCUAGGCAUCUCCAUGGAAGGAAGGAGGAUGAAUCAAGUUCCUUUGUAUGAAUCAAUUUCUCUGCUCUUUUUUUUUUUCAAUCCUUGAAUCGAAUCAUUGCUUAGUUCUUGCUUUAAUUUCUCCAUUUUCUGUUGGGUCUUUGAUUGCAGGUUUAGCUCUGCAAGAGAACUGGGAAAUUUAAUUGUGACCUCCAAUCUAAUCGACUCUGCUUUGACUAAAAUUCUUGAGCUUCAAAGAGACCAAACAGCCUUGCUUUCCCCCGUUCAAUACAGAGUUUUUUUAUCCAUCUCCCAACUGCACAAUUGUAGCUUUUGUCUCUUCACCUGACUGCACUCAAAACCCUCUUCCUGGACAAGGAGAUUUAGUUCCCUCUCCUCUCUUUGACUUCCUCUGCACCGAAGAAUACAAGUCCGUCUCCAUUAACAGAGCUGCAUUAACCCUCUUUACCUCUCUCCACGAUCAUCUCUCUGGACUAAAAACUCAGGUCAAAAUAUGAUAGUUGUUUUUAUUUUCGUUUCCUUUUUGUUAACAAUUGUGAGACAUGAAACAGCUUGACCAUGAGAUCUCUCUCAUAGAGUCAAACUACCUGAAGAAGAAGAAGACGUUACACAUAUCCAUCUGCGUUGCAUCAUCGCAUUACCCAUUGAUCGGUUGUGAUUCAACUCUUAAUAGGAAGACAGUAGAACUGGUGUUGGUAUCUGUUUUUAGAUCAGCUUAUAUGUAUCUUGUUGCUAAAAAGGGAAUGUUUAGAAGUGAGAUUAAUGGGAUUAUUCUGACAUGGAUUUCAUAUGGUUACCUGUUUUGCAGUUGACUGUGAUUGAAGGUCAAUUAAUCAUCACUGGGCACUCCCUGGGAGGAGCCGUUGCUUCUCUCUUCACCUUAUGCCUGCUAGAUGAAAAUUUAUUAAAACCCAAAUGCCGCCCCUUUUGUAUCACCUUUGGUUCACCCCUCGUCGGCGGCUUUGGCCUCCAACACUCCAUAUGGAAUUCUUUCUUCCUGCAUGUAGUGUCUAACCAAGACCCAGUCCCCGGUCUCUUCCUCCCAUCUGGCAGAGGCAGAUCUACGCCCACAUCCUCCCAUUCACAAACUACCGGUUACAAGCCCUUUGGGACAUAUCUCUUGUGCUCUGAACUUGGUUGUGCUUGUUUUGACAACCCUGAUUUAAUUUUGGAAUUGCUGAAAGUCAUAUCAUCAGAGGUUGCCGGAGGAUUGCAGGAUGUUGAUUAUGGGGAGAUUUUAAGAAACCUCAAGGAGAGGGCAAUCUGCAAGGGACUUCCGCAGGUGGGUGAAAGGUUUGCAAAUCCAUUUUCAGCUGGGAUCAUCAUGGAACUUGAGACAAUUGGAUUUAAUCAAACAAAGGUAAACAGCUUUCUCCCAUCUAAUGAUGUUAUGGAACAUGGUUUACACCUCAUUAAAUACUGCAACAACUGCCCUAUUUAGAUUUACCUUCUUGUUCUUUGGGAUUUUCCAUAACUAGACUCAUUUUUUAAUUUCAUGGCAGCUGCUGCAGCAUAACAUUGAUAUCGAGACUGUGAUAAGCGCAAUGGAAGCGGAAGCAAGAAACCUAACCCAGAAAAAUAAAGCUUCCGAUGCCAAGAAACUGAAUGAAAUAAAAAUAGACAUGACCCGGCUAGAAUUGUAUAAGAAGAAUUCGAACAUGGGUUACUACGAUUGCUUCAAAAACCAGGGGUCUAAAAGGGACAUCCACGUUGAACAGUUUAGGGUAAACCUCACAGGGUACUGGGAAGGCAUGGUUGCACAAAUACAGAGGAAGCCUCAUAAGGAAGGAGCAACAUUUCGAACCCGUUGGCUCUAUGCAGGGACGGUUUAUAGAAGAAUGGUUGAACCACUGGACAUUGCUGCCUUCUACAGAGAGGGUAGAAAAGACUACAUGAAUAAAAGAUCUGCACAUUACAAGCUGUUGCAGGAAUGGUAUGAGGAAGAUGUGAAACCCCCCUCUAGAGAUAAGCUUGAUUCCAAGAAGCAAAAGGUGUCCAGUAUCCUAACUGAGGAUUCUUGCUUUUGGGCACAUGUGGAGGAGGCUAUCUUGUCAUGCGAAUUGCUCAAGAGUGAAAACUGUAAUCUUGAGGAGGGAAAAUCAUCAUGGGAUAAUCUGGUUAAGUUCGAGGAGUAUGUAAUGGAACAGAUUGACAACUAUGCAGUGUCCCCUGAGAUUUUCUUGGAGAAAAGCAGCUUCAUGAAAUGGAGGGGACUGUAUGAGGGCUACAUAGAUACUCGCAGUAAUUCCCAUAGCUCGCCAUUGAUCAGCUUUAUGAAGAAUCGUAGUUAUAGACAAUAUGGAUAGAGGGGUAAUCCAGUUUGUGUGUUGUGUGUAUUGUUUUGUGAGCAUUCAAUGGAUAGAACUAGAAAGAGUGUGACCUUUUCCUUUUUUUUUUCAGUUGCUGCCCAUAUUCUCAGCACUAUUUUCUUCCUUCUUUUCCUCAGUUUUUUUGUUAAGAAAUGAAUAUUAUGAUGUUGCCGGGAUGCACUUUCAUUUUUGUUCCAUUACAUUGUGUUUUAUUCAUAUCCUAAACAAAUAAAUGUAAACAAGAAAAUCAAAUGAGACUUCAAAGAGUCUGUUCCUUUUAAAGCAAGGGAAAAAAAGGACAUGUUUGUUUACUUCCACAGCUGGGUAGAUUCAACUCCACCAAAAUUGGCAACAACUUCCCAUUGAAAAAUUCCUUUUAAGCUUGAAUGACAUAAAACUAGAUAUGUUCCAGCUAGAAUGGUACAAGAAAGAAAUCAAAAGAUGAGCACAAUGGGUUAUUAUGACAGCUUUAGAAACCUGGGGUGUAAAAGAGACAUUAAAAUGGAACCGAGGGGAAGACAUUGUAGAACAAGUAAAGAGGAAGCCUCACCAGGAAGGGCAGCUUUGCAAACCCUCUGGCUCUGUACAGGAACGAAUUAUAGAAAGAUGGUUGAACCACUUGACAUUGCUGCCUACCACAGAGAGGGUGGAAGAAACUACAUAACCAAUGGAGGAUGUAAACAUUACACGCUAUUAGAGCAAUGAUGCAAUGAAGAGAAGGGGACUUUGUCUUCCAAUAAUUUAAGAAAAUAAAACCAAAUAAUGCCAGAAUUUGGGUUGAGAAACACCCAAAAGAUAGUGGCCCAAUAUGAAGUAGUCACAAAACUAGUAACAGCCUUGUGGCCAUAGUUGGUGUAGUAUGAGCAAGUGGGGUAUGAAGUAGGUAGGUGAGUAUUGCAAUGAAAUUUCCAGCACUGCUUCCUGAAUUAAGAAAUCACAUACUCAAGUCUUAAUCGUUGUCAUCAUACCGUGUGAGAACCGAGGAAGAAUCUUUGCUCUUAGACUGGAUUUUGUAGUCUUUCUUUAACAAUUACAAGUUAUCUGAAUUCCCUUCAUCCUCCUAUAUAAUAUUGUUUUUGGUCUUGUUCUUGUUGCAUUGUGGCUAGGCAUCUCCAUGGGAGGAAGGAGGAUGAAUCAAGUUCCUUUGUAUGAAUCAAUUUCUCUGCUCUUUUUUUUUUCAAUCCUUGAAUCGAAUCAUUGCUUAGUUCUUGCUUUAAUUUCUCCAUUUUCUGUUGGGUCUUUGAUUGCAGGUUUAGCUCUGCAAGAAAACUGGGAAAUUUAAUUGUGACCUCCAAUCUAAUCGACUCUGCUUUGACUAAAAUUCUUGAGCUUCAAAGAGACCAAACAGCCUUGCCUUCCCCCGUUCAAUACAGAGUUUUUUAUCCAUCUCCCAACUGCACAAUUGUAGCUUUUGUCUCUUCACCUGACUGCACUCAAAACCCUCUUCCUGGACAAGGAGAUUUAGUUCCCUCUCCUCUCUUUGACUUCCUCUGCACCGAAGAAUACAAGUCCGUCUCCAUUAACAGAGCUGCAUUAACCCUCUUUACCUCUCUCCACGAUCAUCUCUCUGGACUAAAAACUCAGGUCAAAAUAUGAUAGUUGUUUUUAUUUUCGUUUCCUUUUUGUUAACAAUUGGGAGACAUGAAACAGCUUGACCAUGAGAUCUCUCUCAUAGAGUCAAACUACCUGAAGAAGAAGAAGACGUUACACAUAUCCAUCUGCGCUGCAUCAUCGCAUUACCCAUUGAUCGGUUGUGAUUCAACUCUUAAUAGGAAGACAGUAGAACUGGUGUUGGUAUCUGUUUUUAGAUCAGCUUAUAUGUAUCUUGUUGCUAAAAAGGGAAUGUUUAGAAGUGAGAUUAAUGGGAUUAUUCUGACAUGGAUUUCAUAUGGUUACCUGUUUUGCAGUUGACUGUGAUUGAAGGUCGAUUAAUCAUUACUGGGUACUCGAUGGGAGGAUCCGUUGCUUCUCUCUUCACCUUAUGCCUGUUAGAAGUCAUCAAUUUAUCAAAACCCAAAUGCCGCCCCAUUUGUAUCACCUUUGGUUCACCCCUCAUAGGCGACUUUGGCCUCCAACACUCCAAUUGGAAUUCUUUCUUCUUGCAUGUAGUGUCCAACCAAGAUCUAGUCCCCGGACUCUUCCUCCCAUCCGACAGAUCUCCUCCCACAUCCUCCCAUUCACAAACUACUGGUUACAAGCCCUUUGGGACAUAUCUCUUGUGCUCUGAACUUGGUUGUGCUUGUUUUGACAACUCUGAUUUAAUUUUGGAAUUGCUGAAAGUCAUAUCAUCAGAGGUUGCCAGAGGAUUGCGGGAUGUUGAUUACAGGAAGAUUUUAAGAAACCUCAAGGAGAGGGCAAUCUGCAAGGGACUUCCGCAGGUGGGUGAAAGGUUUGCAAAUCCAUUUUCAGCUGGGAUCAUCAUGGAACUUGAGACGAUUGGAUUUAAUGAAACAAAGGUAAACAGCUUUCUCCCAUCUACUGAUGUUAUGGAACAUGGUUUACACAUCAUUAAAUACUGCAACAACUGCCCUAUUUAGAUUUAGGGCAAUGAUGAAAAUAUCAGUAAUCACGGAUAUAUCAGUAUUUCGAUUUUACGGAUAUAUCGGAUAUAUCGGAGAUAUAUCGGUAGAUAUUUUGAAAAAAAAUAUCGGCAAGCUUAAAAUUGUUAAAAACUCAUGAAAAUAUAAGAAAAUCUCAUAAUAAUAUAAUUAAAAGUAUAAUAGACAUUUUAAAGUUAUUUUAUUGAAAAUUUUGAUAUAUGUAUAACAUGAUUUAUCAUAUUUGAUAAUAAUAUCGUAUGCGUCGAUAAAAAUAUGAAUUUUAUAAGUGUACAUUUAUUAUUAAAUUACACCUAAUAUUAUGAUAUCUGAUUAUAAUAUGUCUAAUUUUAAAAUAUAUAUUAGUAUUAAAAUAUGAUCCAUUUAAUUCAAUUGUAUUAAACAAUAUAAAAUAAAUAAUGAUAUAUAUAUAUAUAUAUAUAAUUUUUUAAUAUUUAAUUAAUUAUUAAUGAUAUUAAAAACAUUAUGAAGAAAAUUAUAUAAUUUUUUAAUUUUUGGUAAUUAAUUAAAAGACUUUGCAUUUAAUUAUAAAUUAAUUAUAAUUAAUUUACUCUUUAAAAUAUUCUUAUAUUUUCUUUAUAUAAUGAAUUUAAGUAUAUAUAUAGUUGUUGCAUAUUAUAUAUUAAAGGACAACUUAGCCCAAGUGGUAAGCGAGUGAACCCCAAUGUGAGGCAUUGUAGCACGUGCACUGUAGCAUCACUGUAGCGACUCUGACUUUCGUUGACCCGCAUUGACUACACGAUAUAUCGGAGAAAAAUCACUGAUUUAUCGCCAAAUCACCAAUAAAUCGCCGAUUUCUCGCGAUAAAUACCAAAAUAUAGUGUCGAAACCCUUCGAUACACGAUUUUUCGGCGCAUUUUCUUACUUGGAUUUACCUUUUUGUUCUUUGGGAUCUUCCAUGACUCAUUUUUUAAUGCCAUUUUAUUUUCCUUUUUGUUUCUAAAUUUUUAAAAAAUCGUUUUCACUUCUUUUUUUUAAGAAAAUUUUGGCAAAUUUUGAAAAUAUAAUAUUAGUGUUUUCACUUCUUUCUUUUUUUUUUUUUUCUUUUUUUUUUUAAACUCAAUUUUCUAAAAAAUGAAAAUAGAAAAACAUUGUCUAAACAUGUUUGUAAACUUAAUUUUAUUUUUUUAUAAAUGAAAAAAAAAAUCUAAAUGAGUAAGGCUUUAUUAAUUUUAAUUUUUUUCUUUUCCUUAUAUUUUCUUAUUUUAUUCCAAAUUUUCUUGCAACCAAACAUAAUCUAAAUGUUUACAACUUUUAUUGUAAGGAAUGAAUGACACUACUUUGUGAACUUUUAUGAUAAUAUUUUGAAUCAUAAAUUGUGUUUUUUUUAGUAAUAUCAAUUUUAUUACCAAUGACUUAAUUGUUAAUAACAAAAUAUAAUAUUUAUAAAUAUUUUUAUUCUCAACAGGCUACAAUUUUUACUCUUGUGAUAAAAAAAAUUUUGUCAUAAAUUACACAUUAUGAUGAGUUUUUCUAUUUUCCUUAUCAGCCAAUUCAACAAAUAUCAUAUAUAUUGUAAUGGCUAACAAAUUUUCACAUAAAUUUUUUAUAAGAUAAAGUAGAAUGGAAUUAUUCAAUUUCAAAAAAAAAAAAAAUGGUACCUAAUGAAAAAGAUAAAAUAUAUAGAUCAUCUCGAAGAAAUCAGGAAAGAUAAAUGAUGAGACCAUAUAUAGGACCCUUGAUGGAGACUAUUUUAAUUGAAGUGGUGUGCUCCUUCCGACUCAGAACAUGUUCAGCAUUGCACACAAACUAACAUCGUCGAUCUUGAGUAUGAAAAAGGUGAUUAGAUUCCAAGGUUGUCGUUUGUCCCAACUCCUCAUAUUAGAGGUGAUGCUCAAGCUAACGUGCCUCGCAGUUGAGCCCCGGCCAAUCGGUCUAAUAUGCUUUUCCAAUGGUGAGUUUCACUGCCACCAUGUAUUACAUUAAUUCCGAUAGCGCACAAGUUGUGUUUGUGCUAUUGCUUUUUGCCCUCACAAACAUAUACACAAGAGACAUUCAGACCAGAUCUGUUCUACCAUCCUCUAGGAAAGCAUUGUAGGUCAUUUGAAAUUGGGAUUUCAGCACCAGAGUCAAAUUGCCUUCCUUCCUGAAAGAUGAGCAUUUUUUAUACUCUUACAUCGGCUUUUAUGGAAAUGAAAUCAGCUUCUCAUUCUGUUACAUUUUUCAAUUUUGCUGCCUAUAACUGCUCACUGCCUGUUUGUGAGACAUUAUCCAGAUUUUCCCUGAUCAAUUAUAGAGAGGUCAUUGGACUCAUCCAUGAUUGGAAUUUCCUGUUAUCAUUAUUUGCAAAUCAUCAACCAUUUGUCAUGAUAUCUUAAGUUAAGCUGAGCACGAAUUUCAGCUAAGAUCCUCAGAACUAGAAAUAUGCACUGCAGGUAUUACUUGAUAUGUGAAUAUCCAAUACAAUAUUUUUUUACUAAGAGGAAUACGAAUUUGAAACACUUUCCAAUAAUUUAUCAAGUCAUAUUUUCGUGCUGUCGUGAUACAUGUGUCUACUGUAUGCAUGGCUUUUCUUUUCUACACAUGCCUUUAUCUUUGCACAUGACUCUUUUGAUACACGCCAGCAUCAAGGCAAUUGCCUAAAUCUAAAUCACAUCCUUUGUGUCACGUCUUCCUUGUUACCACGGUCCUCUUGUACACCAUGGUCCCUUAAUGUAACUUGUGCCACAAGCCCUUUGUGCAUGAAUUCAAAUUGUUCAAUCAUUUCGCCAUUUACACCUUUUAAGGUCCAAUAAGCGUAUACAAGAGACUACACUCAUUCUAGAUGAUAAAGUACAUUCAACUAACUACUCUUGCUAAUGAGCAUAUCCAAGUCAAUACAUAAGAUUAAUUAUUACAUAUGGUAAUUGAAACCCUGUUUAAAUAAAUAGUGACACAAAUAUAAAAAAUAUAUAUAUUUAAAAAUAAAUAAAUAACAAUUUAGAGAAUUUCAUAACUUAGUAUCAAACCUAUUGUAGGAAAGAGUAUUAUACAAUGUAGGGUUUAGGAUCAAAGUUAACCUAAGAUCAAUUUUAAGUUUUAAGACCAAUUCAAAUUCAAAACUAAGGUUUUAAGUUUCAAAAAUAUAUCUCUUAAACCAAUUAAAUAGAAAAAAGAAAAUUACAAAGAAAAUUUCUUCCUCAUCGGUUUCUUUUAUCUUGAAAACUAAAGGAAAUAUAUAUCAAUAUUUGAGAUGGAAAUUCAUAAUCUUAGAAACACAAAGAACAAAGAGAGUAUGAAGAGACCAUACCAUGAGAGAUUUUCCAAAAGGUUGGUAAACCAUGGUAAUCACCUUUGAGUUUUGCUGAGAAAAACAAACCUUAAUUUUUAUUUUUAUUUUUUUAUCAUUUUUUCUCUUGUGGUGUACAUUUAAGAAAAACAAAUCUUAAAAAAAAAAAAAAAAAAACCAAAUAAUGCCAGAAUUUGGGUUGAGAAACACCCAAAAGAUAGUGGCCCAAUACAUGUGCCUAAGAAAAUCUUCAUGAGCCGAUAAACAUAGUCACAAAACUAGUAACAGCCUUGUAGCCAUAGUUGGUGUAGUAUGAGCAAGUGGGGUAUGAAGUAGGUAGGUGAGUAUUGCAAUGAAAUUUCCAGCACUGCUUCCUGAAUUAAGAAAUCACAUACCCAAGUCUUAGUCGUCGUCGUCGUACCGUGUGAGAACCGGGAAGAAUCUUUGCUCGUAGAGUGGCUUUUGUAGUCUUUCUUUAACAAUUACAAGUUAUCUGAAUUCCCUUCAUCCUCCUAUAUAAUAUUGUUUUUGGUCUUGUUCUUGUUGCAUUGUGGCUAGGCAUCUCCAUGGAAGGAAGGAGGAUGAAUCAAGUUCCUUUGUAUGAAUCAAUUUCUCUGCUCUUUUUCUUUUCAAUCCGUGAAUCGAAUCAUUGCUUAGUUCUUGCUUUAAUUUCUCCAUUUUCUGUUGGGUCUUUGACUGCAGGUUUAGCUCUGCAAGAGAACUGGGAAAUUUAAUGGUGACCUCCAAUCUAAUCGACUCUGCUUUGACUAAAAUUCUUGAGCUUCAAAGAGACCAAACAGCCUUGCUUUCCUCCGUUCAAUACAGAGUUUUUUAUCCAUCUCCCAAGUGCACAAUUGUAGCUUUUGUCUCUUCACCUGACUGCACUCAAAACCCUCUUCCUGGACAAGGAGAUUUAGUUCCGUCUCCUCUCUUUGACUUCCUCUGCACCGAAGAAUACAAGUCCGUCUCCAUUAACAGAGCUGCAUUAACCCUCUUUACCUCUUUCCACGAUCAUCUCUCUGGACUAAAAACUCAGGUCAAAAUAUGAUAGUUGUUUUUAUUUUCGUUUCCUUUUUGUUAACAAUUGUGAGACAUGAAACAGCUUGACCAUGAGAUCUCUCUCAUAGAGUCAAACUACCUGAAGAAGAAGAAGACGUUACACAUAUCCAUCUGCGUUGCAUCAUCGCAUUACCCAUUGAUCGGUUGUGAUUCAACUCUUAAUAGGAAGACAGUAGAACUGGUGUUGGUAUCUGUUUUUAGAUCAGCUUAUAUGUAUCUUGUUUCUAAAAAAGGUAAGUUUAGAAGUGAGAUUAAUGGGAUUAUUCUGACAUGGAUUCCAUAUGGUUACCUGUUUUGCAGUUGACUCAGAUUGAAGGUCAAUUAAUCAUCACUGGGCACUCCCUGGGAGGAUCCGUUGCUUCUCUCUUCACCUUAUGCCUGCUAGAUGGAAAUUUAUUAAAACCCAACUGCCGCCCCUUUUGUAUCACCUUUGGUUCACCCCUCAUCGGCGGCUUUGGCCUCCAACACUCCAUAUGGAAUUCUUUCUUCCUGCAUGUAGUGUCUAACCAAGACCCAGUCCCCGGUCUCUUCCUCCCAUCUGGCAGAGGCAGAUCUACGCCCACAUCCUCCCAUUCACAAACUACCGGUUACAAGCCCUUUGGGACAUAUCUCUUGUGCUCUGAACUUGGUUGUGCUUGUUUGGAAAAGCCUGAUUUAAUUUUGGGAUUGCUGAAAGUCAGAUCAUCCGAGGUUGCCGGAGGAUUGCAGGAUGUUGAUUAUGGGGAGAUUUUAAGAAACCUCAAGGAGAGGGCAAUCUGCAAGGGACUUCAGCAGGUGGGUGAAAGGUUUGCAGAUCCUUUUACAGCUGGGAUCAUCAUGGACCUUGAGAUAAUUGGAUUUGAUCAAACAAAGGUAAACAGCUAGCUUUCUCCCAUCUAAUGAUGUUAUGAAACAUGGUUUACACUUCACCAAAUACUGCAACAACUGCCCUAUUUAGAUUUGCCGUCUUGUUCUUUGGGAUCUUCCAUAACUAGACUCAUUUUUUAAUUUCAUGGCAGCUGCUGCAGCAUAACAUUGAUAUCGAGACUGUGAUAAGCACAAUGGAAGAGGAAGCCAGAAACCCAACCAAAAAAAAUAAAGCUUUCGAUGCCAAGAUUCUGAAUCACAAAAAAAAAGACAUGGCCGGGCUAGAAUGGUAUAAGAAGAAAUCAAAAGAUCUGAACAAGGGUUACUACGACUGCUUCAAAAACCAGGGGUCAAAAAGGGACAUUAAAAUUGAACAGUAUGGGGGACACCUCACAUUAUACUGGAAAGACAUGGUUGCACAAGUACAGAGGAAGCCCCAGAAGGAAGGAGCAACAUUUCGAACCCGUUGGCUCUAUGCAGGGACGGUUUAUAGAAGAAUGGUUGAACCACUGGACAUUGCUGCCUUCUACGUAGAGGGUGGAACAGACUACAUGAAGAAUGAAAGAUCUCUUCAUUACAAGCUGUUGCAGCAAUGGUAUGAGGAAGAUGUGAAACCCCCCUCUAAGGAUAAGCUUGAUUCCAAGAAGCAAAAGGUGUCUGGUAUCCUAACUGAGGAUUCUUGCUUUUGGGCACAUGUGGAGGAGGCUAUCUUGUCAUGCGAAUUGCUUAAGAGUGAAAACUGUACUCUUGAGCAGGAAAAAUCAUCAUGGGAUAAUCUGGUUAAGUUCGAGGAGUAUGUAAUGGAACAGAUUAACAACUAUGCAGUGUCCCCUGAGAUUUUCUUGGGGGAAAGCAGCUUCAUGAAAUGGUGGGGACUGUAUGAGGGCUACAUAUAUGCUCGCAGUAAUUCCCAUAGGUCACCAUUGAUCAGCUUUAUGAAGAACGGUAGUUAUACAGAGUAUCGUUAGAGGGGUAAUCCAGUUUGUGUGUUGUGUGUAUUGUUUUGUGAGCAUUCAAUGGAUAGAACUAGAAAGAGUGUGACCUUUUUCCUUUUUUUCUUCUAGUUGCUGCCCAUAUUCUCAGCACUAUUUUCUUCCUUCUUUUCCUCAGUUUUUUCUUAAGAAAUGAAUAUUAUGAUGUUGCUGGGAUGCACUUUCAUUUUUGUUCCAUUACAUUGUGUUUUAUUCAUAUCCUAAACAAAUAAAUGUAAACAAGAAAAUCAAAUAAGACUUCAAAGAGUCUGUUCCUUUUAAAGCAAGGGAAAAAAAGGACAUGUUUGUUUACUUCCACAGCUGGGUAGAUUCAACUCCACCAAAAUUGGCAACAACUUCCCAUUGAAAAAUUCCUUCUAAGCUUGAAUGACAUAAAACUAGAUAUGUUCCAGCUAGAAUGGUACAAAAAAGAAAUCAAAAGAUGAGCACAAUGGGUUAUUAUGACAGCUUUAGAAACCAUCUUACAACACAUCCAUCAGAAUUUAGACUAUUCAUAGAAACAUUCUUAACAUGUAAAUCUACUAUUGCCAUGCACGUCAACAUAGAAUUUCUAAAAUGAUUGAAUAAAAUAAAUAAAACAAAAGAAACCCUUCCAAGAGAAUUUCAUAAUCUAAUGUCAAAUCUAUUACGAAGAUGAACAUGUAAAAUUUAAGGUUUAUAAUCAAAGUCGACUUGAAUCUGAGUUUUAAAACCAAUUUGCAGUUUUUAAGUUUGGAGACUAGAUCUCUUAAACCAAUUAAAUGUAAAAAACUAAAAAGAAAACUUCUUCAAAUUUUGAAAUGAGAAUGAGAAUGCAAUUCCUAACUAGUUUCUUCAUCAAAAAUCCCGAAAAAAAAAAAAAAAGAAGAGAGAGAGAGACCAUAGACGCCAGUGUUUGGGUUUAGAACCACCCAAGAGAGAGUAGUCCAAUAUAUGGGCUUAAGAAAAUCCUCAUGGGCCUAAGCUAAGACUAGGAACAAUCUUGUAUCCGUGGUUGGUUUAGUAUGAGCAUGUGUACUGCGAAGGAAGUAGCUGAGAAUUGCAAUGGAAUUUCCAGUACUGCUUCCUGAACGAACAAAUCGCAUACCCAAGAUUUGGUCGUCAACGCCAUGCUGGGUGAGAACCGGGGAAGCAUCUUCGCUCGUUGACGAGCUUUUGUAGUCCUUCUUUAACAAUUAUAAGGCAUCUGAAUUCCCUUCAUCCUCCCACACCAUUGUUUUUGGUCUUGUUCUUGUUGCUUUGUGACUACGCAUCUCCAUGGAAGGAAGGAGGAUGAACCAAGUUCCUUUGUAUGCAUCAAUUUUACUGUUUUUUUUUUCCUUUUUAAUCUUUGGAUCGAAUCAUUGCUUAGUUCUUGCUUAAUUUCUCCAUUUUAUGUUGGGUCUUUGAUUGCAGGUUUAGCUCUGCGCGAGAACUGGGAAAUUUAAUUGUGACCUCCAAUCUAAUCGACUCUGCUUUGACUAAAAUUCUUGAGCUUCAAAGAGACCAAACAGCCUUGCCUUCCCCCGUUCAAUACAGAGUUUUUUAUCCAUCUCCCAAGUGCACAAUUGUAGCUUUUGUCUCUUCACCUGACUGCACUCAAAACCCUCUUCCUGGACAAGGAGAUUUAGUUCCCUCUCCUCUCUUUGACUUCCUCUGCACCGAAGAAUACCCUUCCGUCUCCAUUAACGGAGCCGCAUUAACCCUCUUUACCUCUCUCUACGAUCAUCUCUCUGGACUAAUAGAUGAGGUCAAAAUCUGAUACUUGUUUUAAUUUACGUUAACUUUUCGUUAACAAUUGUGAGACACGUAUAUAUAUAUAUAUAUAUAUAUAUCUUGUGGAUAAAAGGAAAGUUUACAAGUGAGAAUAGUGGCAUUUUUCUGACAGAUUUCACACCGUUGCUUGUUUUGCACUUGACUGUGAUUGAAGGUCGAUUAAUCAUCACUGGGCACUCGAUGGGAGGAUCCGUUGCUUCUCUCUUCACCUUAUGCCUGCUAGAAGUCAUUAAUAUAUCAAAACCCAAAUGCCGCCCCAUUUGCAUCACAUUUGGUUCACCCCUCAUAGGCGACUUUGGCUUCCAACACUCCAAUUGGAAUUCUUUCUUCUUGCAUGUAGUGUCCAACCAAGAUCUAGUCCCCGGACUCUUCCUCCCAUCCGGCAGAUCUCCUCCCACAUCCUCCCAUUCACAAACUACUGGUUACAAGCCCUUUGGGACAUAUCUCUUGUGCUCUGAACUUGGUUGUGCUUGUUUUGACAACCCUGAUUUAAUUUUGGAAUUGCUGAAAGUCAUAUCAUCAGAGGUUGCCGGAGGAUUGCGGGAUGUUGAUUACAGGAAGAUUUUAAUAAACCUCAAGGAGAGGGCAAUCUUCAAGGGACUUCAGCAGGUGGGUGAAAGGUUUGCAGAUCCCUUGUCAGCUGGGAUCAUCAUGGACCUUGAGAUAAUUGGAUUUGAUCAAACAAAGGUAAACAGCUUUCUCCCAAUUAAUGAUGUAGCAUGGUUUACACUCAACUUCACCAAAACCUGCAACAACUGCCCUAUUUAGAUUUGCCUUCCGGUUCUUUGGGUUCUUCUAUAACUUCUCAUUUUUUAAAUCCAUGGCAGCUGUUGCGGCACAACAUUGAUAUCAACACUGUGAUAAGGAUACUGGGAGCGGAAGCCAGAAUCCUAGCCCACAAAAAUAAAGCUUCUGAUGCCAAGAAACUGAAUGACAUAAAAAUACACAUGGCCCAGCUAGAAUGGUAUAAGAAGAAAUCAAAAGAUCUGAACAAGGGUUACUACGACUGCUUCAAAAACCAGGGGUUAAAAAGGGACAUUAAAAUUGAACAGUAUAGGGGACACCUCACAAUAUACUGGAAAGACAUGGUUGCACAAGUACAGAGGAAGCCCCAGAAGGAAGGAGCAUCAUUUCGAACCAGUUGGCUCUAUCCAGGGACAACUUAUAGAAGAAUGGUUGAACCACUGGACAUUGCUGCCUUCUACAGAGAGGGUAGAACAGACUACAUAAACAAUGGAAGAUCUCCUCAUUACAAGCUGUUGCAGCAAUGGUAUGAGGAAGAUGUGAAGCCCCCAUCCAGAGAUAAGCUCGAUUCCAAGAAACUAAAGGUGUCUGGUAUCCUAACUGAGGAUUCUUUGUUUUGGGCACAUGUGGAGGAGGCUCUCUUGUCAUGCGAAUCGCUCAAGAGUGCAAACUCUACUCUUGAGCAGAGAAAAUCAUCAUGGGAUAAUCUGGUUAAGUUUGGGGAGUAUGUAAUGGAACAGAUUGGAAACUAUGCAGUGUCCCCUGAGAUUUUCUUGGGGGAAAGCAGCUUCAUGAAAUGGUGGGGAGUGUAUGAGGACUACAUAGAUGCUUCCAAUAAUUUCUAUGGGUCACCAUUGAUCAACUUUAUGAAGGACCGUAGUUAUAGACUGUAUGGUUAGAGGGCAAUCCAGUUUGUGUAUUGUGUUUAUUGUAUUGUGAGCAUUCAAUAGAUAAAACUAGAAAGAGCGUGACCUUUUUAUGACAACUUUAGAAACCAGGGGUUAAAAGAGACAUUACAAAUUGAAUUUUUUGAGAGGAAACCUCAAGAGUAUACUGGGAAGCCAUGGUGGAACAAGUAGAGAGGAAGCUUCGGAAGGAAGGAUCAAUGGUUGAACCACUUGACAUUGUUGCCUACUUCAGGGAGGGUGUAAGAAACAACAUAACCGAGGGAAGAUCUGAACAUUAAACAUUGUACAAUUAUUGUAAAUGUCUUAUACAUUACGUGUGAAAAUACCAAAAAAAAUUAUAUUCAACAUUUAUGUUUGUAUACAAGCAAUAUUUUGGAUAGUUUGAUAUAAAAAACAAAUGAAGAAAACGAAGAAAAACAUACAAAUAUAUUUACAAUGGACAAACUUAUACAAUUAGUGUAAAUGUCUUGUAUAUUUAGUACAAAAGUCUCGUACUUUGUAAAAAUAUAAAAAUAUAGUAUUUGACUUUUAUAUAUGUGUGAAAAUGUAAAAGGAAAAAGAAAAAUAGUUAGAGCAUUUGGUACCGUGAGUGAUGACUUCACCUAAAGAAAGGUUAAUGAAUAUUAUGGUCUCGAUGGAAGAGCGACUCCGGUAAAAUAUAUGGAUUAAAUUGAUGCUUUUCUUUUGACGAUGAAGUAGUUGAGUUAUGAAUACGAGGUUUUGCUAACAACAUUGAAGGCAAGGAUUCCCUAAUAUACUCCAAUUCAUAUUCAAUUUGUAGACCUUCAACUAACUACUCUUGCUAAUGAGCAUAUCCAAGUGAAUACAUAAGAUUAAUUAUUACAUAUGAUAAUUGAAACCCUGUUUAAAUAAAUAGUGACACAAAUAUAAAAAAUAUAUAUAUUUAAAAAUAAAUAAAUAAUAAUUUAGAGAAUUUCAUAACUUAGCAUCAAACCUAUUGUAGGAAAGAGUAUUAUACAAUGUAGGGUUUAGGAUCAAAGUUAACCUAAGAUCAAAUUUAAGUCUUAAGACCAAUUCACAUUCAAAACUAAGGUUUUAAAUUUCAAAAAUAUAUCUCUUAAACCAAUUAAAUGGAAAAAAGAAAAUUACAAAGAAAAUUUCUUCCUCAUCGGUUUCUUUUAUCUUGAAAACUAAAGGAAAUAUAUAUCAAUAUUUGAGAUGGAAAUUCAUAAUCUUAGAAACACAAAGAACAAAGAGAGUAUGAAGAGACCAUACCAUGAGAGAUUUUCCAAAAGGUUGGUAAACCAUGGUAAUCACCUUUGAGUUUUGCUGAGAAAAACAAACCUUAAUUUUUAUUUUUAUUUUUUUAUCAUUUUUUCUCUUGUGGUGUACAUUUAAGAAAAACAAAUCUUAAAAAAAAAAAAAAAAAAACCAAAUAAUGCCAGAAUUUGGGUUGAGAAACACCCAAAAGAUAGUGGCCCAAUACAUGUGCCUAAGAAAAUCUUCAUGAGCCGAUAAACAUAGUCACAAAACUAGGAACAGCCUUGUAGCCAUAGUUGGUGUAGUAUGAGCAAGUGGGGUAUGAAGUAGGUAGGUGAGUAUUGCAAUGAAAUUUCCAGCACUGCUUCCUGAAUUAAGAAAUCACAUACUCAAGUCUUAAUCGUUGUCAUCAUACCGUGUGAGAACCGAGGAAGAAUCUUUGCUCUUAGACUGGAUUUUGUAGUCUUUCUUUAACAAUUACAAGUUAUCUGAAUUCCCUUCAUCCUCCUAUAUAAUAUUGUUUUUGGUCUUGUUCUUGUUGCAUUGUGGCUAGGCAUCUCCAUGGGAGGAAGGAGGAUGAAUCAAGUUCCUUUGUAUGAAUCAAUUUCUCUGCUCUUUUUUUUUUCAAUCCUUGAAUCGAAUCAUUGCUUAGUUCUUGCUUUAAUUUCUCCAUUUUCUGUUGGGUCUUUGAUUGCAGGUUUAGCUCUGCAAGAAAACUGGGAAAUUUAAUUGUGACCUCCAAUCUAAUCGACUCUGCUUUGACUAAAAUUCUUGAGCUUCAAAGAGACCAAACAGCCUUGCCUUCCCCCGUUCAAUACAGAGUUUUUUAUCCAUCUCCCAAGUGCACAAUUGUAGCUUUUGUCUCUUCACCUGACUGCACUCAAAACCCUCUUCCUGGACAAGGAGAUUUAGUUCCCUCUCCUCUCUUUGACUUCCUCUGCACCGAAGAAUACAAGUCCGUCUCCAUUAACAGAGCUGCAUUAACCCUCUUUACCUCUCUCCACGAUCAUCUCUCUGGACUAAAAACUCAGGUCAAAAUAUGAUAGUUGUUUUUAUUUUCGUUUCCUUUUUGUUAACAAUUGUGAGACAUGAAACAGCUUGACCAUGAGAUCUCUCUCAUAGAGUCAAACUACCUGAAGAAGAAGAAGACGUUACACAUAUCCAUCUGCGCUGCAUCAUCGCAUUACCCAUUGAUCGGUUGUGAUUCAACUCUUAAUAGGAAGACAGUAGAACUGGUGUUGGUAUCUGUUUUUAGAUCAGCUUAUAUGUAUCUUGUUGCUAAAAAGGGAAAGUUUAGAAGUGAGAUUAAUGGGAUUAUUCUGACAUGGAUUUCAUAUGGUUACCUGUUUUGCAGUUGACUGUGAUUGAAGGU
rnacentral:lncRNA from 1 species